GCCCGGUUAGCUCAAUCGGUAGAGCGUGAGACUCUUAAUCUCAAGGUUGCGGGUGAGUAGCUCUUCAUUAAAACACAAAAUGUUAGUGAUUUAAAUACUAAUCCUUCCUAGGUUCGACCCCCGCAUUGGGCU